AUACGUAGGGGCGAGCGUUGUCCGGAAUGAUUGGGCGUAAAGGGCGCGUAGGCGGCCCGGUAAGUCUGGAGUGAAAGUCCUGUUUUUAAGAUGGGAAUUGCUUUGGAUACUGUCGGGCUUGAGUGCAGGAGAGGUAAGUGGAAUUCCCAGUGUAGCGGUGAAAUGCGUAGAGAUUGGGAGGAACACCAGUGGCGAAGGCGACUUACUGGACUGUAACUGACGCUGAGGCGCGAAAGUGUGGGGAGCAAACAGGAUUAGAUACCCUGGUAGUCCACACUGUAAACGAUGAUUACUAGGUGUGGGGGGACUGACCCCUUCCGUGCCGCAGUUAACACAAUAAGUAAUCCACCUGGGGAGUACGGCCGCAAGGUUGAAACUCAAAGGAAUUGACGGGG
rnacentral:rRNA from 1 species